AAAACAGACAGAGUUGAGGGUUUUCAGAGAAGAGACAGAGUUCCUUUCCAGCUUCAGCUGUCUUUUAAAACUCGAGAUUUAAAAAAGUCACCAGAGUCAUCACUCAGCAGAAGCGUGUGACCACUAGCAGCUGGGUGUGGGCAGGGAGCCUGAACAUGGCUGUUUUGGGUGCUCACUGUGCCCAGCUAUGUGCCCGCCUCACCAUGGAGGGCAGGAUCCAGGAAGCUCAAAGUCAACUCAAAGCCCAGCAGGACCUCCUCAGAGACAUCAGUGAACAGAAGCCAAGUCCUAAAGAAGAGAGUAUCUAUGGAAAUUGGAUCAGUACCAUGAGUAUGAUCUGUGAAGACCUGAACCCUGAUACAAAGGUCAGAACAAAGUUCUUCUCAAACAGUUAAACAUAUUUAUAUUUUAUAAGUACAAAGAUUUUUAUUGUUGUUCCUCUCUAUAGCUUGUAUGCACUUGGAUGAAAUGUUGUUUAUCCAGGACUUUAGUGCAAUAUAUAACUGUACAUUUACAUUUACAGCAUUUGGCAGAUGCCCUU